rnacentral:rRNA from 1 species
AAGGUAGCGAAAUUCCUUGUCGGGUAAGUUCCGACCCGCACGAAUCAAGUAACGAGUUGACAACUGUCUCGGAGAGAGUCCCAGUGAAAUUGUAGUGGCGGUGAAGAUGCCGCCUACCCGCAGCAGGACGGAAAGACCCUAUGCACCUUUACUGUAAGCUGUUAUUGUCGCUUGAUUUUUAAUACGUAGCAUAGCUGGGAGACUGCGAAGCCUGCCUUCAGGGGCGGGCCGAGUCGAAAUAUGAAAUACCAGUUUUUAAUUGUUAGGCGUCUAACCUCGUCCCGUCAUCCGGGCGUGGGACAGUGAUAGCAGGUCAGUUUUUCUGGGGCGGAAUCCUCCCAAAGAGUAACGGAGGAUUACGAAGGUUCCCUCAGCCCGGUCGGUAAUCGGGCUAUAGAGCGCA